rnacentral:rRNA from 1 species
UACGUAGGGGGCGAGCGUUGUCCGGAGUUACUGGGCGUAAAGCGCUUGUAGGCGGUCCACCAAGUUUGGGGUGACAGUUGCCGACUUAAUCGGCAAAGUGCCUCAAAGACUGGCGGACUUGAGGGCCACAGAGGGACAUGGAACUCCAGGUGUAGUGGUGAAAUGCGUAGAUAUCUGGAAGAACACCAAAGGCGAAGGCAGUGUCCUGGGUGGCAUCUGACGCUGAGGCGCGAAAGCUAGGGGAGCGAACAGG